rnacentral:rRNA from 1 species
AGUGAACGCUGGCGGUAGGCCUAACACAUGCAAGUCGAACGGCAGCACAGUAAGAUCUUGCUCUUACGGGUGGCGAGUGGCGGACGGGUGAGGAAUACAUCGGAAUCUACUUUUUCGUGGGGGAUUCGUAGGGAAACUUACUCUAAUACCUCAUACUACCUACGCGUGAAAUCAGGUGAUCUUCGUACCUUUCGCUCUUUCUUUUGCCGAUUUCGGAUUAGCUAGUUGGCGGGGUAAAGGCCCACCAAGGCGACGAUCCGUAGCUGUUCUGAGAGGAUGAUCAGCCACACUGGAACUGAGACACGGUCCAGACUCCUACGGGAGGCAGCAGUGGGGAAUAUUGGACAAUGGGCGCAAGCCUGAUCGAGCAAUACCGCGUGGGUGAAGAAGGUCUUCGGGUUGUAAAGCCCUUUUGUUGGGAAAGAAAAGAAGCAGGUUAAUACCCCGCUGUUCUGACGGUACCCAAAGAAUAAGCACCGGCUAACUUCGUG